rnacentral:rRNA from 1 species
UAGAGUUUGAUCCUGGCUCAGAAUGAACGCUGGCAGGCGUGCUUAACACAUGCAAGUCGAACGAGAAAGGCGAAUUUCGGUUUGCCGAGUAAAGUGGCGCACGGGUGAGUAACGCGUAGGCAACCUGCCCAUGUGACUGGGGAUAACAGAGCGAAAGUUCUGCUAAUACCGGGUACGAUCUUCAUGCGAGAGCGUGGAGAUGAAAGUCGGCCACUCGAAGAAGCUGACGCACAUGGAGGGGCCUGCGUCCUAUCAGCUAGUUGGUAGGGUAACGGCCUACCAAGGCGACGACGGGUAGCUGGUCUGAGAGGAUGAUCAGCCACACUGGCACUGGAACACGGGCCAGACUCCUACGGGAGGCAGCAGUGAGGAAUUUUGCGCAAUGGCCGCAAGGCUGACGCAGCAACGCCGCGUGGGUGAUGAAGGCCUUCGGGUCGUAAAGCCCUGUCAGGUGGGAAGAAAGGUACCUGGACGAAUAGGCUGGGUAUUUGACGGUACCACCAGAGGAAGCACCGGCUAACUCCGUGCCAGCAGCCGCGGUAA